UACGGAGGGGGCUAGCGUUGUUCGGAAUUACUGGGCGUAAAGCGCACGUAGGCGGCUUUGUAAGUCAGAGGUGAAAGCCUGGAGCUCAACUCCAGAACUGCCUUUGAAACUACAUCGCUAGAAUCAUGGAGAGGUAAGUGGAAUUCCGAGUGUAGAGGUGAAAUUCGUAGAUAUUCGGAAGAACACCAGUGGCGAAGGCGACUUACUGGACAUGUAUUGACGCUGAGGUGCGAAAGCGUGGGGAGCAAACAGG
rnacentral:rRNA from 1 species